ensembl:lncRNA
AGAGUCCUCCCUAUGGGAGAGUCGAUGCAGAAGGUGGGAGGCAGUGUGACGAGGGAUUUUAAGCAUAAGUGUUCCACAGGGAGACAUCAUCUCCCGAGGAGCUCCAGGCACCCAGCGCCAGUCAGAACCAGCGCUGAGAGUCUGAAGACCCGGAAGUGGGAAGUGAGAAGAGACCAACUAAAGCCCAACUCAGGCAACAGGCCAAUUUUCUCUCUGACUAGCUUGAUCCUAAAUAUUAUACUUCAAGCCAAAGUACAGGUCUUCUUUAGAUGACCUGGGGACCAUGAGUUUCAUCCUCUCCAGUGGUCAGACACAUUUCACGAUGGAGUUGAGGUAAUUCUGUCAGUCACAAGAGGUGUUUGAAGACCAGGAGAACCCCAGCAUAACACACCCCACGGGCACAAGCAGCUGAACACUCCUCGGGUCAGAAAGUGCUUUCCACAAACACGGAGGCCAAGCUCACGAUAUGUCUUAAAGUGGUUCCCAGAGGCCUCCUUAUCCUCCGUGUCGUACAGCCUAAGAGGCACGCUGGCCAGUUUUCAGCCAACCCCGC